rnacentral:pre_miRNA from 1 species
GGUGGGAGGCCGGAUCCUGGGCUGUGUCCCAGCGCCCUGUGCUCCCGGUCUGCGCUGUUGGAUUCACGCUCCCACGGCCGCGCAGCCCCCU